rnacentral:rRNA from 1 species
AUACGGAGGGUGCAAGCGUUACCCGGAAUCAUUGGGUUUGAAGGGUCCGUAGGCGGACUAAUAAGUCAGGGGUGAAAUCCCACAGCUUAACUGUGGAACUGCCUUUGAUACUGUUAGUCUUGAGUUAUAUGGAAGUAGAUAGAAUGUGUAGUGUAGCGGUGAAAUGCUUAGAGAUUACACAGAAUACCGAUUGCGAAGGCAGUCUACUACAUAUAUACUGACGCUAAUGGACGAAAGCGUGGGGAGCGAACAGGAUUAGAAACCCCUGUAGUCC